rnacentral:snRNA from 1 species
GUUGAGCUUGACUCUAGUCCGA